rnacentral:rRNA from 1 species
UACGAAGGGGGCUAGCGUUGUUCGGAAUCACUGGGCGUAAAGCGCACGUAGGCGGAUCUUUAAGUCAGGGGUGAAAUCCCAGAGCUCAACUCUGGAACUGCCUUUGAUACUGGGGAUCUCGAGUUCGGGAGAGGUGAGUGGAACUGCGAGUGUAGAGGUGAAAUUCGUAGAUAUUCGCAAGAACACCAGUGGCGAAGGCGGCUCACUGGCCCGAUACUGACGCUGAGGUGCGAAAGCGUGGGGGAGCAAACAGG